GAGCUUAUGCAGGAGAGGUUAGUUUGAGAAACAAUUUGUUUGAAUAGUCGUUAUACAUGUAACCAAUGCCGUUAUUAAUGUCAUCUUUUUUUAGGAUCCAACCCCGUUACACGACUUCGUCGACCAGUUAUUGGCUUCUGGAGGUAGUGGACACAACUCCAACGACCCCAAUGUGUGAUUAAGUUAGCUUUGUGUCGCACUGUGUUGUAAUAAACUAUUUUGUGGACUUUAUGUUUGUAUGGACUAUUUGUGGACUUUAUAUUUGUAUGGACUCAAGUUUUAUGUUGUGAACUCAAGUAUGAAUUUUCUG
rnacentral:lncRNA from 1 species